AUUGAACGCUGGCGGCAGGCCUAACACAUGCAAGUCGAGCGGAUGAAGGGAGCUUGCUCCUGGAUUCAGCGGCGGACGGGUGAGUAAUGCCUAUGAAUCUGCCUGGUAGUGGGGGAUAACGUCCGGAAACGGGCGCUAAUACCGCAUACGUCCUGAGGUAGAAAGUGGGGGAUCUUCGGACCUCACGCUAUCAGAUGAGCCUAGGUCGGAUUAGCUAGUUGGUGGGGUAAAGGCCUACCAAGGCGACGAUCCGUAACUGGUCUGAGAGGAUGAUCAGUCACACUGGAAGUGAGACACGGUCCAGACUCCUACGGGAGGCAGCAGUGGGGAAUAUUGGACGAUGGGCGAAAGCCUGAUACAGCCAUGCCGCGUGUGUGAAGAAGGUCUUCGGCUGGUAAAGCAAUUUAAGUUGGGAGGAAGGAAAGUAAGUUAAUACCUUGCUGUAUUGACGUUACCAACAGAAUAAGCACCGGCUAACUUCGUG
rnacentral:rRNA from 1 species